CCCUGGGACCCGGCUGCAGCGCCAGGUGAGCCUGCAGUACCUUCCUAACAUCAUCAGGCCCCUGGGGACACUGCUUGCCUGGGCCAGUGAGGAUUAUAGCAGGUGAAGUGGGGCUGGGGCAUCUGGGG
rnacentral:snoRNA from 1 species